AGUACAUCCCGUGAGCGCCUGUCGUUGAGGCAUUCGUGACCUUCACCUUUGUUGGAGGUGUGAUGACACCGUGAAACGUUUGAUCGAAGAGGCGAGAAAACAAAUGCCAAAAUGAAAGUUGGAAAAUUCAAUUGUUACGCCGUGGGUAUGGUCGGUGCAGUGCAGUCGCUGGAUAUGAAAUAGAAAGCAGGCCAGGCCCAGGAAGACACUAAGGAUGCUGAGCAGUUUUUUGGUAGCGGCUAUUCCCAUGACAGUUUUACUAGCAGCAGCCGUUUAUAUUUACAACAGAAUGAGUCAGACAGAGUCUGGGCCACAGUCCUGUCCGCCUUCAUCGUCAUGGACCAGAACUUCAGCUCAAGACAGUGGAAUAAGGAGGCGAAACUAUCCAAGACGUCAGAUGCCAGCUUCCCAUCUUCAUGAAACUAUCUUGCCAUCUAACUUACCUGACUCUGGAUUAAUGGAAGAAGAUCACUGCGAGAUAUGCUUUGAAAAUAUUCCUCGCGUCAGGCUCUACCCUUGUAAACAUGCAGACAUCUGCAUUGAGUGUGCAAACAAAAUUGUAACAACAUGUGAAAGGCUAUGUCCCUUCUGUCGUACUCGGAUCAAUGGGUAUGAGGAGUUGGUUAUUGAGUAGAAAGUUGGUGAGGAUCAAGAACAUUGCAGAUGUUGGAGGUUCAGCUGUUAUAAUGUUACAUAAAUAAUAAAAAUGAUAAUUAAAUAAAGUCAGCUUAUAUAGUGCCAUAUCCCAGCCCUAUAAGAAGCUUGUGGUGUUUUACAAAUAAGGACACACUAGAUAAAUAAGAUGAUGGAAUGAUGAGGUUGUUCUGAAAGUGACAUCAGACCAAGAUAUUAUGAGUCGCAGACUAUAUAGUCAUUUAUCAAAAGCAGAUUUGAUCAAUCAGUAUUCAAGAAUGUAGACAAAGUCUUCCGGAGAGUGCUGAUCGUCAAACAGAAAUCGCACCAAAGUAUUAAAAUGUGACUAUUUGGUGAAGAUGUAAGGUCCAUUACAACAAGGAUUUGUACAUAGAAAGAAACAUUUAUUGUGUUAGUUAAAGAAGACUAGCUGAAGAAAAUUGAAAUCACAAGAUGAAAAACAAAAGGUCAUAGACAAAGGCUUUAGCACGAUGCCAAGGAUGCCAUCAAAAAGUGGAUACAAUGGCACUUAAAACACAGCAAAUAAAAGCAGAAAAAACCAAAAUUUUCUGAUUAAGCUUGAAAAUCACAGAGCAGUUAUGAUUUAUAAGCAAGUCUUGGACUGAAGCAUUGUCUCUUUCUCUGUACACAAACAUAUCGCUUUUCAGAUGCAGAUUUUGAUGUCUAGCUCUUGUUUUCAGAUUGCACAAAAACCACAGACAGAUAUAAGUGAAGUAUGCAGGAUCAAUAAAAUGGCUAAGUUGUCAAAUAAAUGUAUUGAACAUGCUUGAAGUAGCUUGAGUACAUGAAUAUCAUAGUUCUAAUAAUAUUGUCUUAUUUACUUGAAAUUUACAAGAACUGAUGGCUCUGAAAUAGGAUGUCUUCUAAAUUUUAUUCUGAAAGUCUGUUAUUAUCCUUAUGGUUUGUGGCAUUUAUUUCAAUAUGCUGAUCAAUAUUUCCUUACAAAUUCAAAUGUUUUUUUUCCUGAAAGUGAAAAUGUGUCCAGAUAAGUUUACUAUUGUAACAAAAAUAGGAAAGGUUAAUUUUUAUUUUCACAAGUAAGCAGUACACUUUUACGAAAUUAUUUUUAAGAGGAAGAUGCUGUUUUAUCAUAUUCAUUGCUAUUUAUUAUUCCUUUCAUAGUUUUAACAAAUAAUUGCUUUCUAAUUUUGUCUACAUAGCUUUUUUGUUUUUUUACAGUGUGGAAACAUUCUUGCAAUACAACAAGCACUUAGCUAAUUGUAUCAGCUAAAGCACACAGCGUGCAUACUUUGUUAUGGUAAUGAAAUGAUCACAUUACAUCUCUUACAUUUCUGUGCAGUUUAUGUGCCUAUUUUGUAACUUAGGCUGUGCACAUGCAAAAAUGAAUUUGUUAGAAAAGGCUUCAAAUAUGUUUUGUGUUCAUUUUUGUUGGAUUGUUAUGCCAAUUGGUUGUUGCUUUUGAAUCUUGUACAAGAUCAGUAUGUAAUUAUUUUCAUUGGAAUCCAAAUUUUUACCAUAAUUUAAGAUUUAAUAAUGAUUGAUUAUUAUCGCACCGCAUUGUUUUAAAAGUCCCUUUGCCUAUUUGGCUUGAAGGGGCUCUCAUUUUGGUGUUGUUCCUGGAUCUAAGUCUAAUGUCAAUCUGUGUUUUUUUGUUGUGCAUUUACCACUCUUCUGGGUGGUUCUAUCUUUGUCUGAACAAGACCGUUUCUACCUACACAUCAUUUCCCAUCAACUGCCUGCCUCCUUUAACUUGACAUAACAGUUUCUUCAUGCAGUUCACUGGUGAGGUCACACAGUCAAUACAGAGUGCCAUAUCCUCUUGGCUUCAUGAUCAUUAGAUUCUACAUACAAAGAUUUGAUCUAUAAACAAGAACUAUUCCUGAUUAUAACUUGAUACGCUUUUAUCACAGAUUAAUAAUCACUUUACAGCUCUGAACUACUUACUGUAGAACUAACAUCUUAAUCUGUGUUUAGAGGCCAAAUUCCUGCAUUGACAUUUUUAACUAUUGUUGAAUUGAUUUGAUGCCCUUGCAUAAAUGUAGUAGGAAUCUAUCUUUUGUUAUAUCAUUUUCUGCAGAAGAUGAUAGCAGUGUUUCGACCAUUCAUAGAGCACCAGACUAAAAUGAUCAAUGACAGUGUUUGGAUUUGCGACAUGAAGGAUGACAGUCAAAAAUAUUAGGUCAGUGGAUUUGCAGUUUCCCUUAUGACAGCUUGUGAAUUCAUUAUGGGUUUUUAACAGAGGCAUUCUGCAGCAAAAAAAAAAAGGUCUACCUAUUAGAUCUGUCAUAUGACUGGAACUGUAGUGUGGAAAAACUGUAAAACUGUAGUGUGCAACCUGGAUUACUGCUUUUAAAAUGAAGUAUGCAGACUGGGAGCAACUUUUGGCUACAUAGCUUUCAUUCCAUAUGGCAUUCUAUAGACGCUUUUGCAUGCUAUGUUGUAUGUGUUUGUGAAUGUCUGUGAGUAUGUGUGUGUGUUUUGUAAAGCACCAUUUGCUUGCCUAUAGGGCCAGCACUAUGCAAGCUCUCAUUAUGAUGAUUAUUUUUAUUAGGUAUGACCUAAGAUAUCUCUUGCUGCUUCUAAUGGCAUCGCACCCAUUAUGGUAUCUAUUAUCUUCCUCUGUUAGAAAGAUUGAGAAAGUACUUUGAGGCAAGGGAGAUAUGUAUAUAUUCUUUUCUAAUGCAUGGUGCAAUAAUAGUGAGGAUUACUGUCCGAAGGUCAGAUUGAUAUUGUGCGCGCGUGUGCAUGUGGAUGGGCAUGUUUAUGAGAGAGAAUCUGUGGUUCGGUUAUUUUAUAGGUCACAGAGUAAAUGAGCACCUAUCUAUAUGCAAAAGUUUUGCUUUUCAAGUUUGUUUAAAGACCUACAAUGCAAAGAAUGGGAACAAGUGGCUGUAGUCCACCUAGUGUUGCUCAUGGUCACAGCACAUGUGAACGUGACAGAUCUAAUGAGCAGCAAAGCCAUUCUUUCCUGUUGCUGUAAAAUUGAAGGCAGCAAAUGGUAUAGUGUAGGAUUUUAAAGUCAUGCUAUAUCUGCUGGUCUGCAAUAUAAAUUUCAACAUCAUUUAUUGUCGUUGUCACAGUAGAUUACAAUUUAUUUAUUGCACAUUGUUUAAAAUUUAACACUGUGUUAAACUUUUACAAAUUUGCGUAUAAAACUAUUGUAGUACCAGUCAAAGUGGAGACUAUAAAUUCUAAGCAAUGAAAAUUCAACAGCUAUGCUGGUAAAUGAAAUUAUUUUUCCUGUUACAGAUAAUAUUUUUGUUCUUAAAAAUAUUUAUAAAUAUCUUGGCCAUCUCACAUUAUUGGUAUGUAGACUUAUUAAACAAGUCUUACUAGACACCGUUUCCCCACUCUGACCAGACUGUCACUGUGGCUAGGAAGUGGAAAUGUAAAUAAUAUGCUUUAAAUUAAAUGACAUUAAAAAACAUCAAUAAAUAACAUCAAGCUGUAACUCGACAUUCUACAACUAUAAAAGAUAUUACUGCUGACACCAAUAGACACUCGAACACACAAGAACAACAAAGUUGGUUUUUUCCUCCCCCUACACACGAUCCAGGGAAAUAGGUUCUUUAUUCAAUACUCCCCUUCUUCAGCCUUAUCUACAUCAUGGAAAGAGUUGAAAUUGAGGCUAAAUCACAUCAAAGCAACCAGCCCAAUCAGCCCCAUCAUUCUGCCUGAGACAAAAUCUGAUUUCAGCACACCCUGUCUUUAAAGUAUCUGGGAAAAGUGACCACUAUGCCAUGGGACCAUCAUCUCAUAAAUUUUAGAAUGUUUAAAGUAAACAGAAGUGACCUUGUGGUUAUAAAAUGACCCUGGUUUCAUUUAUUUUUGCAAAAUGUGCACACUGCUGAAAAAUGCAUUAAUUCUGUUUGUUAUUGAAGUACACAUGUGUGAUAGCUGAUGAUGAAAGUUUGUGAAAGUGUAAAAUGUCCAGUAUGGAUGUCCAUUUUUACUUGGCCAGCAGUUUGGAAAUAAAACCUGUUCAUACAUUCA